rnacentral:rRNA from 1 species
UUAACACAUGCAAGUCGAGCGGUAACAGAGAUAGCUUGCUAUCUGCUGACGAGCGGCGGACGGGUGAGUAAUGCUUGGGAAUAUGCCUUUGAGUGGGGGACAACAGUUGGAAACGACUGCUAAUACCGCAUAACGUCUACGGACCAAAGGGGGGGAUGCUUCGGCACCUCUCGCUCAUUGAUUAGCCCAAGUGAGAUUAGCUAGUUGGUAAGGUAAUGGCUUACCAAGGCGACGAUCUCUAGCUGGUUUGAGAGGAUGAUCAGCCACACUGGGACUGAGACACGGCCCAGACUCCUACGGGAGGCAGCAGUGGGGAAUAUUGCACAAUGGGCGAAAGCCUGAUGCAGCCAUGCCGCGUGUGUGAAGAAGGCCUUCGGGUUGUAAAGCACUUUCAGCGAGGAGGAAAGGUUAGUAGUUAAUAGCUGCUAGCUGUGACGUUACUCGCAGAAGAAGCACCGGCUAACUUCGUGCCAGCAGCCGCGGUAAUACGAGGGGUGCAAGCGUUAAUCGGAAUUACUGGGCGUAAAGCGUGCGUAGGUGGUUUGUUAAGCAAGAUGUGAAAGCCCCGGGCUCAACCUGGGAACUGCAUUUUGAACUGGCAAACUAGAGUUUUG